rnacentral:misc_RNA from 1 species
CAAAAACAAAUAGUUUCCGGGCGAAAGGAAAAACUCGAAAUGGCCGCGCCCAUCGACGAGAGUGUGCUGAAUGCACUGCGGGGCGUCACCUCCGCCCACACCCGGCUGCCCAAGCCGCUCCUCAUCAAGAUCUAUGUGGCCAGCCUGAAGCAUGAGUUCAACCAGGAGCGCCGCAUGCUCCUGGAGCUUGUGGGCCCGGAGCUGCAGACCCUCUACGAUGAUCGUCAAAUCGAGCUGGAAUUCGUUGACAUGCACUUUGGCACUGGCUGCCUGGAGGUGAAUCAGCUGGAGCGGGAUCCCUAUAUGAUUCAUGACUAUCUCCAUGAGAUUGACAUCUGCCAUGCCCACACAAAGAGUGUAUUCUUUAUGGCACUUGUGGGCGAUGGCAUCGGUCGUCUGCCUCUGCCAACCCACCUGGACGAGGACAUCUUUAGCGCCAUCCUGGCAGAUCCUCAGACAACAGCGGAUCUCGAAGCCCUCUUGGUUAAAUGGUAUGAAAAGGAUGCCACGGAAGGAAAAAAGCAGCUCAAGCAGGAUUAUCGACUGCUUCCCGCGGAUUCUUGGCUAAAUGAAUCGCAGCAAAUGCAAAAUUUAUUGGAGCGAGUUUUUCAAUCAAUGGUCCAGGCCAGUGCAGGACACGCUGCGGAGUUUGUUCAAAGGAUCCAGGAACUGCGACGCACUCAGAUUGAAAGGGAAGUUAAGCAGGCCAUGGCCCUGUCCAGUGAGAAAAUCCUGGCAGUUUUUCGCGAAAGAGCUGCCCAGAGCAGCAAAAAGGAUGUAGAGGCCGGCGAACGUUUGCGAAAAAUCAAGGACGAGCUCACCAUGAACCUAUCCACUGAUAAUCACACGACUCUGGUAGUACCUGGCAGUGCUGCCUGCGAGGCAAUUGAUCCGGAUAAUGAGGACCACGAGUCGUAUUUGAGCAAGUUCAAGAACAAAGUCACCGACAAACUGCGCCUCCUAAUCGAGGCCCACAUAACCAAUGAUCCCGACGUAAUCAAGGGGAGGAAAAAGACUGUGCAGGAAAUAUUUCACGAGCAUGCCACCCACCUGCGCAUCCUGCGGGAACAUACCGAAAAUGCCGCGUUGCUGGAGUCGCGAGUGCCUCAACAGCUCCGCCAGAAUCUAAUGGCCAACUUCCGGAACGGCAGCCGGCAUGCUCCGUACUUUGUUUGCGGAUCGGACGGCAGUGGCAAGAGUGCCAUCAUCAGCCAGCUGUACGGGCAGGUUAGCAGCUGGUUUGGGGCAUCCACACGCGUCCAUCGGAUGAUCCGAUUCGCCAAGGCCUCUCCGAGAUCCGCCUACAAUCUGGAACUCCUGCGAGUGGUGUGCCAGCAGAUCUCCAUUAUUUUCAACAUCCCGGAAGGAUAUCUGCCCAAGGAUGCCUCCUUCGAUCCGCUGUAUAUCAACACCUGGUUCCAGAACCUCUUGCGGCGCAUCGAGGACAUGGGCAACGACGUGCUCUUCCUGUUCAUCGACGACCUGCAUUUGCUCAACCCGCUGGACUGCGACAUUGUGACAGCUCUCUCCUGGCUGCCCACGUCCCUGCCCUGGAACGUCCAGAUCAUUUGCAGCUCCACCACGCCCGUCGAGCAGCUCAAGUUCACGCCCAUGCAGCGGGAUCGCUUCAAGUCCGGGGAAUACCAGUUCGACAUUAAUCGGGGCGACUACUCCAGCCGCCUCAAGAUUCCUCCCCAAUGCAUUCCCGGAGAGGUGAGCUUCAGCCUGUACGUGGAGCAGCAGUUCGACCAGCUGGAACGGCACUACGGACGCCAGGCCGUGGGCAGUCUGGCGGCGUACAUCACCUGCUCCGAGUAUGGCCUCACCGAGACAGAGCUCCUGGAGCUGCACAUGCCAACCGACGACCCGGAGACGCUCAUCGAAACCAAGGCAGGGCACUUCAGCUUUGCAACUUUCAAGAAAAUUCAUCGGGAAAUGGACCUACUGCUCCUGCUACACGACAAGAUCAUGUCCGGCAAGGUGCUGAUCCAGUGGCGCCACAACUACUGUGCCACAGUGGCCAAACGGCGCUACAUGGAUGCCCAAAGAACGCGCAGCCUGCACAGCGAACUGGCCAACUUGUUCUUCCCGCAGGACGAGGACGAAAGCACCCUGGAGAACGAGUCCAAGUGCAGUGAAACCAAGUCGGUGAUCAGCAUGAGGGAGAAAGACUCCCUGUCGGCCGUAUCGGCGGCUUCGGCCGGUCGCAAGUCCUCAUCCACGCACCACAAUGACGACACCUCCACCUUCUACAAUCCCAUUGCCGCGGACGUCAGCUACAGCAUGCGGCAUGUGGAGGAGAGCUGGCAUCACCUGAUGCGAUCCGAUGACACCACCCGGUUCAAGCAGAUCGCUGUCUGCAAUUUUGACUUCCUGCUGGCGGCGGUCCAAACCGUAUCCAUUAGCUACUUACGCUGUUUGAUCGAACACGUCCGCUGCUAUGUCCUGGACAGGGACAUCGAGCUGAUCUACUACACGAUCAGGAAGUCGAGUGAUGUCCUCACCCGAGACCCCAUGCAACUGGGCUCCCAGCUGAUAUCCUGGCUGCGUCCGAUCGGCGAGCACGACGACGACGACAACUCCCUGCUGAGCAUGACGGUCCGCUCGGCCACCGCCUGGUGUGAUGGGUAUGCGGUACCGUUACUCGUCCCGCUCACCGGCUGGCUGCCCGUGCCGCUGCCCUCACAGAUCCGCACCAUGACCGUCACCGGGACGGGAGUCAUUCGAGACGUAUGCCUGGCCCCCUCGAAGCAGCAUCUCAUCCUGGCCACCAACUCCGGCGACGUGCAACAGUGGCACAUUAUGAGCAAUUCGCUGGAGCACACGUUCAAGGGACAUACUGCGGCAGUCACGUGCCUUCUGGUGGCGCCGCAACCGGAGCAGGAGUUGCUGCUGACCGGCUCCGAGGAUAACAGCGUACUCGUGUGGCACGUCUCACUCCGCGAGCGUCUGGGGCACAUUAACGCCCACACAGCUCCCAUUACCGGCGUGGCAGCUGGCGUCAAUAACACACUCAUCAUAAGCAGCAGCGAGGAUGCAACAAUUGCCAUUACGGACCUGGCCAGUGGAAAAUUGAGACAUCGCAUAACCUACCAUCGAGGUCCUGUGACUGGCAUCCUGGUGGCCGGAGCCUGUGAUGUCCUCAUCUCGGGCAGUCACGACAGGAGCAUUUGUGUCUGGAACCUGGAGAACUUCAGCCUACUGAAUACCAUGCACAUGUCGAGUCCAGUGCUUCGCAUUGACAUUUCCUGGAAUUCGGUCUUCCUUUUGGCAUUGUGCGAGGAUAAUGCCCUUUAUGUUCGCACACUGGCAACUGGCAAGGAGCUGCACACUCUGAAAGGACACAAGUCAAAGAUUCGAACCAUUUCGAUUGGCAAGGAUAGUCAGCGGUGUGUGGUGGGCUGCGAGGAUACCCGGGCCCUUAUCUACGACAUGCACUCCGGGAAACUGGUGCGAUCGAUGCCGCCUAAUCCCGGACCCGUGACCGCCGUCCACGCCAUGGACAAUGAUGACUUCCUGGUCACGGUGGGUGGCAACAAGAUUACCUUCUACUCGUUCCGCAACGAGGAGCUCUACUUGAAUCCCUACUCGCGGCAUCCGAAGAGGAAGCGCAGCCUGAAGAGGCACGCCCAGGCACAGAGGUCGCCCUCGACGACCCUGCCGCCCAUUACCUGCUUCGACUUGUCCAGGGACUCCCAGCAAAUGGCCAUCGCCUCCGGACGGAGUGUCCACCUGAUGCGCAUCAAUACGCCGGAGUACCAAUGCACCCUAGAUGGCCACACGGCCGGCGUGUCCUGCCUGAAGUUCGCUCCCAACGGGGAGUUCCUGGCCACCGGCUCCGAGGACCGCUUGGUGCUCAUCUGGAACAUGGCCUUGGGCGAGAUCAGCAAUACGUUCAAAGGACAUGUCGCUCCGGUGGUGAAGGUGGUGGUCCUGAUGGAUUCCCUGCGAGUCAUCUCCACGGAUCGUGACUCGCUGCUGCUGGUUUGGAUGGCCGAUUCCGGCAACCUGCUGCAGACCAUCCAAGGACCCUACAAAACCCUGGCCGUCACCAACAACAUGCGCUUUGCCGCCUCCACCAACGGGGACAACACCCUCAAGAUCUGGUCCCUCACCCAGGAGGACGAGAAGUACUCCGUCUCGCACUCGGACGAGAUCACCUGCUUCGAGAUCAGUGCGGAUAGUGCCCACAUCAUCACAGGAUCCAGGGAUAUGUCUCUAAAGGUGUGGCAGGCAACGGGCGGCAAGCUCAGCCAGGUCCUGGUGGGCCACAGCGAUGCGGUGACCUGCGUGGCCGUCUCGGUGACCAACAAGACCCAGGUCCUGUCUGGCUCCAAGGACACGAAUCUCAUACUCUGGGAUCUGCUGACCGGCGAAGAGGUUCACACACUAGCCGGGCAUUUGGGUCCGGUUAUUGGCGUCAAGGUGUCAGCGGAUGGAUCUACGGCCGUCUCGGGCAGCGAUGACAAGACCCUGAUUGUUUGGGAAACAAAGCGCGGUCUGGCCCUGACCUCCCUGCAAAUGCAUGUGCCCUUCACCCAUUUCGACAUAAGCCUGGAGGUAUCUCGGGUCCUGGUCCAGCUGGUGGACAGCUACAAUCUUCCCGUGAUCUGCUUGCACAACACUCCGGCGCAAUAUGUUAAGCUGCCGACGUAUUCGGGUCCCAGCAAGGAUGUGGAGGAUCUACGUCCUCAAGGACCCAAAAGGCAAAUGAAGAGACUGCUGAAGAAGGAGGUCUCCCUGGACACGUACACCUGGCAGAAGAAGUACGGCCACCUGACCUCCUCCGUGAUGAUGGCCCAGGUGGAUGAGCGACUGAAGCGACGAUUCAGUGUCUCGGCCAGCAUGGAGGAGAUCUCGAAGAUAGCCGAGACCAAGACGGGAGCCUCGCAGGCCAACCUGGGUCCGGAGCAGGCGGCCCUGGCCCAAUCCCAGCACUUCGACCAGCUGGAGGCGCUCUGGAACAAGAGAUCUCCGCCGCGACGACGUCACAAUGCGGGUCUUUCGCGGCAAACCUCGCUGGUGGAGGACCGACUCGAGUCCUCGGACGACGACGAGUACCAGGACGAGCGCGCAGUUCGAAAACCAGUUCCCGCAGCUCAUUGCUCCCAUAAACCAAUGCAACUGCAACUGCAACCAGAAACUGCAGCAACAGCAGCAACAGCGGCAACAGCAACAUGAAUAAAUAUUAACCAAUAAUCACAAAGAAUAACCUAAAACCGAAUAUCUGAUAGAUUCCCCAAUCGAUUGGCAUGAUAAUAGAUUGUAUCUCCUGUCUCGGAGCACAGUAUUUCCUCAAUAAGAGCACUCUCCAAAAAAAUAUAUAGAAUGUAAUCACAGUACGGCACCCCUAAAUUGACUUACUCCCAAUCUGGCAAACUUUGACAAGCUAUUUGAAUAUCUGAUUCUUGUGUAUCGUUUCUAGACGAAUUCGACGAUUUCUUUCAGUGGGGCUAAGACCAUAUAUUAUCAGUUAGGGCUUACAAUUAGAGAAAAACACAUAAAUACCUUUCGAAUAUGUAUACAGGCAUACCUCAAGUGCAAAUGCUGAAAGACAAGACACACUUUUGAAAAUUCUACAUGCAACUACUUAGAAUAAAAGCGACAUAUAUAUAUGUUUAUAACCAAAAUAAAUAACACAGAGAGAGAGACCUACCACCCACCCACCAGACUCCAGAAGUGCACCAACCAGAGGCAGCCAGGAUGCAGUCAAGUAAAUCAUUUCGCUUCAGGAGGAGGAGGAUACCACAAAGGAUAAGCCCUGAGGCAAUCCAGCAAUUAAACGGAGUAUCUAUCCAAAAUGGCAAGCAAUAAAUGGGCAGUAAGGCGUAGCGUAACAAUUAAACCCAUUUCCCAUACACUAUAUACCCAUAUCGAGCUUGGCUGCUGGGUAAUCUCGCCCAUUUCUGUGUGUAGUUUAGAAACCCGAAUCUCCCUUCUAGAAACCAAAGACAAAAAAAAGAAAAAACAUAACUUAGUUAAAUCUGAUAAACCACCGUCUCAGACUUUGUAGGAAUUAUAGGAGUUAAGAGAGAGAGAGCCAAUUUAGAAAUUUUAUUGUUGUAGAGUGUUUUGUGUAUUAAAUGUUGAUUGUAUUGACACAAAAAUGCAAACUUAGAAUCAGUUCGAGAUGAGAAAUGCAAAUACACAACUCUCUGAGGGGCUAAAAGCGUAACUAUGCUUAAAACAACAAGACACUGACACUAGCACACAAGACACAAAAGAUGAAACACAAAAACCUAAAAAACUAAAAUUAAUACUUAAGAAAAUGUGUAUAUAUUAAGGUCCCGUCUAAGUCCCAUCCACUUGCGCUGUAGAAUUAGUAUUAUAAUAACCCGGACCUCAUUUCUGGACGCACUUUUUCGGGUCACGCGGGCUUGCACUUCCCUCGGAUGUAAUUUCAAUAACUUUCUGACAAUCAGAGGUUCUUGCCUGGAACGAAAAACCUAAAAAAAAAACAUACACUCAAAAAAAUAAAUACAAAAAAAAUGAUAUUUCUACACUGGAUAUUUCAAAAUGCAUGCCACAAGUGAAACUUUGUUAAACUAAGCAAUUAAUGUCUAUGUAGUGUAGUGUACUUAGUCGCCACCACUGUAGCUGAAAACCACGAGCAUCUCCCGAGGAACUAUGCAUCUGGAAGCCAGGAUAAGGACACGGCACGAAAGGAUAGCACAGGCUAAGACGGAAGUAUAACCGGAUACGGAUAUGGUUACUUAAUGCAUAAACAGCUAAAUGUACACCCUGUCUAUGUCUAUUAAAACGAAAUUAAAUUCAACUUUAUUGCAGAA